GACGAACGCCGGCGGCGUGCUUAACACAUGCAAGUCGAACGAAGAGCGAUGGAAGCUUGCUUCUAUCAAUCUUAGUGGCGAACGGGUGAGUAACGCGUAAUCAACCUGCCCUUCAGAGGGGGACAACAGUUGGAAACGACUGCUAAUACCGCAUACGAUCUAAUCUCGGCAUCGAGGAUAGAUGAAAGGUGGCCUCUACAUGUAAGCUAUCACUGAAGGAGGGGAUUGCGUCUGAUUAGCUAGUUGGAGGGGUAACGGCCCACCAAGGCGAUGAUCAGUAGCCGGUCUGAGAGGAUGAACGGCCACAUUGGGACUGAGACACGGCCCAGACUCCUACGGGAGGCAGCAGUGGGGAAUCUUCCGCAAUGGACGAAAGUCUGACGGAGCAACGCCGCGUGAGUGAUGACGGCCUUCGGGUUGUAAAGCUCUGUUAAUCGGGACGAAAGGCCUUC
rnacentral:rRNA from 1 species